CGCAUUUGCUAGAAGAGUGGGAAGCGAAAAUAAGGAGAAGUCAGCUGAAUUAUUCCAGGAAUGCAAUGUAACAGUAAAAAUAUUAUAUUUAGUGAAAAUGAGAGUGGACACUGGUAAUUUUUGACUGAUGUGCGAAUAUUUGUUAAAAUUUGGUGAAAAGUCUUUGUUUAAAGUGUUUAAUUGUGUUUUUAUUUGGUCUAAAGUUGAAAUCGUUAAUAAAUGCAAAGAAAUAGUGUCGUGAAAGUCGUAUUGCGUUAAAAUCUUCGAAAGUAUGAGUUUUUCUGCAAAUUCCUUAAGUGCGUUGUCGGGUUUGUUCGUGGGUGUAUAUAAGCGUGUAUGUAAGAAUGUGGAAGCUUCAGGAUUUUCGCGUUUGGCUUACGUGUUCUAAAAAAUAGCGAGUGGUGCAACAUAACCAAGGCGAGUUUAAAAAGGGUCGGCCGGUCGUAAGGAACUCGGAGUGCAGCCCCCAUCUAUAACUGAAGCAAGCUGCCAACAAAACCUUGAUUUUUGACUUGCUUUGACUUGCUUUUUCGGCUGCGGCUCAGUUUUGACACGACAUUCAGCCGAUUGGCCGUCUGUUUUCGGCUCGCAAGCAUAGAUCUGAGACGCAACGCCAGCAAUAAUUUGUUUCAUGACAUCCUGGUAGUGCGAAGGCCUUGUUUCACCAACGAUAACGCGACGUUGUUUUUCGAAAAAAUUGUACUCUGUGAGCACAAUUUUUCUGGAACGGCUGGAACGACCGACCAAACUCAUCUAACUCUGGAAGUUUAUUUCAACCUAGGGUACUAUCCAAUAAGAAAAAAAGAGAGAGGACCAUUUUUUGAAGGCGCAGCAGACGGGCAUUAGAGAGCGCGAAGAGCGGGCUGAGGAGAGCAUCUCUUGAAAAUCAAAUCUGGACUGCCUAGUUGCCAAACGAGUUAUCAAACAAAAAGUUGGAUAUUAUCAUCUAAACCUAGUCGUUUAUGGACAAAACGUUCGAAUUAAAGGAUUUUGGAAUCGGAGAUACUCGGAAAUCCUCCCGCAACCCAUUUCAACACCAUCAAUUGGGAGAAAAAAUCAUUUUGGUGGUUUUCUCCUCAAAAACGGCGCUUUGGUACACAUUUUUAUUUUUCUAAAUUUCUGUGUAAAUGCAAAUUUAAAAUUUCUUUAAUAAAAAUAUUCUCCUUGCGAUUCUGCAAAUUUUUGCAUUUUUACUUUUUCUCUAGGACCAUUAGUUUAGAAGUUAUAAGCAUUUUUGUAUCCGCUUUAAUUCGGCGGUUGCUUGCUGCAUGCUCCUGGUCGCCUGGUAGAAUUCUGGGAUUUUGGCACCAAAUUGAAUGCAAUUUUUCUGCAGCGGCGGCGGAUGCGCUCCAAAUCUGCGGGGAGGGUAUAGCAUAAGCAAAGGGGCGAAAUUGGGGACACGGAAGUGGCCAUAAAUAAUGCCCGGAAAUGGGGAUAGGUCCCGGACCGGAAGCGGAAAUGGGACCCCACUUCCGGUCUGACAUCUGAACCGGAAGCGAAAAACCGGAAACGGAAAUGAGGCCCACCUCCGGCCUGGCGACUGAACCGGAAGCGUCAACCCGGAAACGGAAAUGAGCCCGCUUCCGGUUUACCGGGUGGACCGGAAGUCAUGAACCGGAAAUGGGUGUCCCGGACCGGAAGUGGGCUUCCGGUCAAGGACGCAUCCCCAUUUCCGGGCAUUAUAUAUGCCUACUUCCGUGUCCCCAAUUUCGCCCCUUUGCGUAUGCUAUACCCUCCCCGCAAAUUUGUAGCGCAUCCGCCGCCGCCGCCGCUGCUGAAAAAUUGCAUUCAAUUUGGUGCCAAAAUCCCAGAAUUCUACCAGGCGACCAGGAGCAUGCAGCAAGCAACCGCCGAAUUAAAGCGGAUAUAAAAAUGCUUAUAACUUCUAAACUAAUGGUCCUAGAGAAAAAGUAAAAAUGCAGAAAUUUGCAGAAUCGCAAAGAGAAUAUUUUUAUUAAAGAAAUUUUAAAUUUGCAUUUACACAGAAAUUUAGAAAAAUAAAAAUGUGUACCAAAUCGCCGUUUUUUGAGGAGAAAAUCGUCAAAAUGAUUUUUUUUCCUAAUUGAGGGCGUUAAAAAGGGUUGUGGGAGGAUUUCCGAGCAUCUCUCUAUUUAUUCCCAGUCCAAAACUUUUAAAUUGGAACAUUUUGUCCAUAAGCGAUUAGUUUUUGAUCAUAGUAUCCAACUCUUUGCUUGAUAAUUAUUUUUCUUCGCGGAGUCUGAAAACAGCGUAUCGAGAAGAAGAGAUCUUACCGGCAUCGUUGGAAUGUCGGAAGGAUCAAUGAAAACUAAUUGGAGUGAUCAUCUGGGCGUAAGAAAAGUGAAAGCGCAAUUAGUUUUACAACCACUAAUUUUUUUCGAAAACAGCUUCUCGUUAAUGUCUAUC